GGGCCCGUAGUCCAGCGGUAGGACGCCGCCCUGGCACGGCGGAGGCCCCGGGUUCGAAUCCCGGCGGGUCCA
rfam:Nanoarchaeum equitans Kin4-M, complete genome.